UCUUAUCAAGAGAGGUGGAGGGAAUGGCCCUGUGAAACCCGGCAACCAGUAUUUUAAAUACUAAGGUGCUAAUUCCUGCAGUAUAAUCUGCAAGAUAAGA
rnacentral:ncRNA from 1 species